UACGUAGGGUGCAAGCGUUGUCCGGAAUUAUUGGGCGUAAAGGGCUCGUAGACGGUCCGUCACGUCGGGAGUGAAAACUUGGGGCUUAACCCCAAGCCUGCUUCCGAUACGGGCGGACUAGAGGUAGGCAGGGGGAGAACGGAAUUCCUGGUGUAGCGGUGAAAUGCGCAGAUAUCAGGAGGAACACCGGUGGCGAAGGCGGUUCUCUGGGCCUUACCUGACGCUGAGGAGCGAAAGCGUGGGGAGCAAACAGG
rnacentral:rRNA from 1 species